CCUACGGGAGGCAGCAGUGGGGAAUAUUGGACAAUGGGCGAAAGCCUGAUCCAGCAAUGCCGCGUGAGUGAUGAAGGCCUUAGGGUUGUAAAGCUCUUUUUACCAGGGAUGAUAAUGACAGUACCUGGAGAAUAAGCUCCGGCUAACUCCGUGCCAGCAGCCGCGGUAAUACGGAGGGAGCUAGCGUUGUUCGGAAUUACUGGGCGUAAAGCGUGCGUAGGCGGUGAUUCAAGUCAGAGGUGAAAGCCUGGAGCUCAACUCCAGAACGGCCUUUGAAACUAGAUCGCUAGAAUUAUGGAGAGGUAAGUGGAAUUCCGAGUGUAGAGGUGAAAUUCGUAGAUAUUCGGAAGAACACCAGUGGCGAAGGCGACUUACUGGACAUAUAUUGACGCUGAGGUACGAAAGCGUGGGGAGCAAACAGGAUUAGAUACCCUGGUAGUCCACGCCGUAAACGAUGAUAACUAGCUGUUCGGGCUCUCAGAGUCUUGAGUGGCGCAGCUACGACUAUUAAGUUACGUCCGUCCGUGGGUAGGUACGGUCGGCGAAGUAAGUUAAAACGUUAAAGUUAAAGUUAGUACGGUUACGUUAGAACGUUAGCGACGGACGACGACGAGGGAGGAGG
rnacentral:rRNA from 1 species